GACGAACGCUGGCGGCGUGCCUAAUACAUGCAAGUAGAACGCACAGUUUAUACCGUAGCUUGCUACACCAUAGACUGUGAGUUGCGAACGGGUGAGUAACGCGUAGGUAACCUGCCUGGUAGCGGGGGAUAACUAUUGGAAACGAUAGCUAAUACCGCAUAAUAUUAAUUAUUGCAUGAUAAUUAAUUGAAAGGUGCAAUUGCACCACUACCAGAUGGACCUGCGUUGUAUUAGCUAGUAGGUGAGGUAACGGCUCACCUAGGCGACGAUACAUAGCCGACCUGAGAGGGGGAUCGGCCACACUGGGACGGAGACACGGCCCAGACUCCUACGGGAGGCAGCAGUAGGGAAUCUUCGGCAAUGGACGAAAGUCUGACCGAGCAACGCCGCGUGAGUGAAGAAGGAUUUCGGAUCGUAAAGCUCUGUUGUAAGAGAAGAACGGGUGUGAGAGUGGAAAGUUCACACUGUGACGGUAUCUUACCAGAAAGGGACGGCUAACUACGUG
rnacentral:rRNA from 1 species